UUUUUUUUUUUUUUUUUUUUUUUUUUUUUUGCCAAUUUCGACGAGUCU
rnacentral:ribozyme from 1 species